rnacentral:rRNA from 1 species
GGGGGACAACCAGCCGAAAGGUUGGCUAAUACCGCAUGAGUUCUACGGAAGAAAGAGGGGGACCCGCAAGGGCCUCUCGCGAGCGGAGCGGCCGAUGACUGAUUAGCCUGUUGGUGAGGUAACGGCUCACCAAAGCAACGAUCAGUAGCUGGUCUGAGAGGACGACCAGCCACACUGGGACUGAGACACGGCCCAGACUCCUACGGGAGGCAGCAGUGGGGAAUUUUGGACAAUGGGCGCAAGCCUGAUCCAGCUAUUCCGCGUGUGGGAUGAAGGCCCUCGGGUUGUAAACCACUUUUGUAGAGAACGAAAAGACACCUUUUAAAAAAGGGUGUCGCUGACGGUACUCUAAGAAUAAGCACCGGCUAACUACGUGCCAGCAGCCGCGGUAAUACGUAGGGUGCGAGCGUUAAUCGGAAUUACUGGGCGUAAAGGGUGCGCAGGCGGUUGAGUAAGACAGAUGUGAAAUCCCCGAGCUUAACUCGGGAAUGGCAUAUGUGACUGCUCGACUAGAGUGUGUCAGAGGGAGGUGGAGUUCCACGUGUAGCAGUGAAAUGCGUAGAUAUGUGGAAGAACACCGAUGGCGAAGGCAGCCUCCUGGGACAUAACUGACGCUCAGGCACGAAAGCGUGGGGAGCAAACAGGAUUAGAUGCCCUGGUAGUCCACGCCCUAAACGAUGUUAACUAGUUGUUGGGAAGUAAAAUUCUCAGUAACGCAGCCAACG